CCGCCCCGCCCCGACUGCAAUGUCUCAGCGCCGCACGCCCGCAUCGCCCUCAGUCUUGCUGAAUUGAGCGGGCGCAGCCGCGGCUACUUUGCAGCGGUUUCGGGCCAGGCCCAGCGGCGGCGGCAACAGCGGGUCUCGGACCGACCGUGAGCCUGGGGAGUUUGUCUCCAACGACUGUGGGUGCAGCGGUCUGAGUUCUAAAAGCAGGUUGAAGACUACAAGUACAAGCCAGUGAAGCUGGAAUGCCCUGACACUGGUAUUUUAGCUGACUUAAACCAACUAUCACUCUGCAGUUGACAACACACAAGUGCCUCCAAUGAGGUCAACUAUUCUCACGUAACUUGUAGCAACCAUGUAUCUGCCCUGGCUUGGGAGUUUAGGGCAGUGGGGUAGUGCUGGUGGUUUAACUCUCACAGCUCUGUGAAGUGGAUACUGUAAAAUUACAGGUGAAGCAGUAGUUCAGGUAGUGAAUUGAGAUUCCAUCACAUAUGCCUAGCCCUGAACAGGGAGCCUCAUAUGUACCUUUUUGGCUAGGUAAACUAUGAAAAGUCACUUAUCUCUUGAGAUUUAGUGUCCUGGUUAAACGGUAGAAGUAUUCAGAUGGGGAUUAGGUCAGUUUGGGGGCGGGGAGUGUUAAGGACCAGAGACUUACUGUUGAGAACAUAAGCUCUUUAUAGUAUAUAAUUACAUUGAACCUAAAAGAAGUCAAAAUUUGAUACAAAAGGAGCAUCCAUCAGCAUGUUAAAUGCUUCUGAUGAAUGUAGCAUAAUGAGCUGUAAAAAGGAAUUUAAAGGACACAAUGAUGCUAGAUAGUUAGAAUUUGAAAGUAUUGGAGGUGACGGGAAAGUUUUCAUAUGGGAAGAAAUGUGUCAGUGUAGCAAGAUUAACAGCCCAGUGUGUGCUAGGAGUUACUCCUGUUGAUCAGCUCUGAAUGUUUACAAAUACCUCAUUUUCCAGAAGUCUUAAAGGUAUUCACCUUGG